rnacentral:rRNA from 1 species
AACGAACGCUGGCGGCAGGCCUAACACAUGCAAGUCGAACGCACCGCGAGGUGAGUGGCGCACGGGUGAGUAACACGUGGGAAUGUACCCUUUGGUUCGGAAUAACGUUUGGAAACGAACGCUAAUACCGGAUGAGCCCUGUGGGGGAAAGAUUUAUCGCCAAAGGAGCAGCCCGCGUCUGAUUAGCUAGUUGGUGGGGUAAAGGCCUACCAAGGCGACGAUCAGUAGCUGGUCUGAGAGGAUGAUCAGCCACACUGGGACUGAGACACGGCCCAGACUCCUACGGGAGGCAGCAGUGGGGAAUAUUGGACAAUGGGCGGAAGCCUGAUCCAGCCAUGCCGCGUGAGUGAUGAAGGCCUUCGGGUUGUAAAGCUCUUUCGCACGCGACGAUGAUGACGGUAGCGUGAGAAGAAGCCCCGGCUAACUUCGUGCCAGCAGCCGCGGUAAGAC